UGAGCAAUCUGCCCUUCACAUCGGAAUAACCAUUGGAAACGAUGGCUAAUACCGAAUAUGACUUCGGAUCGCAUGAUCUGAAGUGGAAAGCUCCGGCGGUGAAGGAUGAGCCCGCGGCCUAUCAGCUUGUUGGUGAGGUAAUAGCUCACCAAGGCGAUGACGGGUAGCCGGCCUGAGAGGGUGACCGGCCACACUGGGACUGAGACACGGCCCAGACUCCG
rnacentral:rRNA from 1 species